CUUCUGUUAUGUCCUUAGACUUUUAUCUUGUCCUCAUAAAAUUGGGGUGCGAGUUUGUUGGGCGAUGGCCGAGAUGGGUGGAGAGAUACUUAUUUUUCUUAGACAAUGGAAUGAGCUUUGAUUUUUACAAAUGUAUAAUCAGCAUUAUACUAUUUUUCAGGAUUUACCAUAACAUUCUUGGAUUUUGCAGUGUGGUUACAGAUUCUUGAAAGGAAAAUGUUGCAUAUCAAGUGCCUGAUUGCACAUUGCUCAUUUGCUCUGAUGGUUCCCUACUGGAAUUUUCUUCAUUUGGCUUAUUAUCUGUUUGGAUUAUAAAAGAGAGCCAUUUGCAUUGUUCUUGCCUAUUGAAGUGUCUCAUUCAUUUCUUGAUUUGCAUAAUGACUUCAACUUGGUUUUGGGCUCCAUCUGAACCAUAAUUCUUGGAGUUUCCAAAUAAUGGGACAACAUUCCCUUAGCUGGGGAUUUGAUUAAACUUCUUGUCAAUUUUCGUAGAGUGUUACAAAAAUUGUAAC
rnacentral:lncRNA from 1 species